rnacentral:rRNA from 1 species
AGUGAACGCUGGCGGUAUGCCUAACACAUGCAAGUCGAACGGCCGCACAGUAAGAGCUUUCUCUUACGGGUGGCGAGUGACGGACGGGUGAGACAUACAUCGGCUACCACUUUUUCGUGGGGGAUAACGUAGGGACACUUCUACUACUACCGCAUAUGUCCUACGGGUUAAAGCAGGAGUUCUUCGCACUUUGCCUGUUUGUAUGAGACGAUGUCGUAUUAGCUAGUUGACAAGGUAAGGGCACACCAAGGCGACGAGGCGUAGCUGAUCUGAGAGGGUGAGCGGCCACACUGGAACUGAGACACGGUCCAGACUCCUACGGGAGGCAGCAGUAGGGAAUCUUCCGCAAGGGGCGAAAGCCUGACGGAGCAACGCCGCGUGAGUGAUGAAGGUCUUCGGAUCGUAAAACUCUGUUAUUAGGGAAGAAAAUAUGUGUAAGUAACUGUGCACAUCUUGACGGUACCUAAGCAGAAAGCCACGGCUAACUACGUG